GAUGAACGCUGGCGGCGUGCCUAAUACAUGCAAGUCGAGCGAAUGGAUUAGGAGCUUGCUCUUAUGAAGUUAGCGGCGGACGGGUGAGUAACACGUGGGUAACCUGCCCAUAAGACUGGGAUAACUCCGGGAAACCGGGGCUAAUACCGGAUAACAUUUUGAACCGCAUGGUUCGAAAUUGAAAGGCGGCUUCGGCUGUCACUUAUGGAUGGACCCGCGUCGCAUUAGCUAGUUGGUGGGGUAACGGCUCACCAAGGCAACGAUGCGUAGCCGACCUGAGAGGGUGAUCGGCCACACUGGGACUGAGACACGGCCCAGACUCCUACGGGUGGCAGCAGUAGGGAAUCUUCCGCAAUGGACGAAAGUCUGACGGAGCAACGCCGCGUGAGUGAUGAAGGCUUUCGGGUCGUAAAACUCUGCUGUUAGGGAAGAACAAGUGCUAGUUGAAUAAGCUGGCACCUUGACGGUACCUAACCAGAAAGCCACGGCUAACUACGUGCCAGCCACCGCGGUAA
rnacentral:rRNA from 1 species